UACGUAGGGGGCAAGCGUUGUCCGGAAUCAUUGGGCGUAAAGCGCGCGUAGGCGGCCCGGUAAGUCCGUUGUGAAAGUCAAAGGCUCAACCUUUGAACGCCGAUGGAUACUGCCGGGCUAGAGUCCGGGAAGAGGCGAGUGGAAUUCCUGGUGUAGGCGGUGGAAUGCGCAGAUAUCAGGAGGAACACCAAUAGCGAAGGCAGCUCGCUGGGACGGUACUGACGCUGGAGGCGCGAAAGCGUGGGGAGCGAACAGG
rnacentral:rRNA from 1 species